rnacentral:rRNA from 1 species
AUUGAACGCUGGCGGCAGGCCUAACACAUGCAAGUCGAGCGAGCGGCGGAAGGGUGAGUAAUGUAUGGGGACUGCCCGAUAGAGGGGGAUAACUACUGGAAACGGUGGCUAAUACCGCAUAAUGUCGGAUAACCCAUAUGGGAUUCGCUAGGCGGUAAGGUAAUGGCUUACCUAGGCGACGAUCACUAGCUGGUCUGAGAGGAUGAUCCACCACACUGUGACUGAGACACUGCCCAGACGCCUACGGAGGCAGCAGUGGGAAAUAUUGCACAAUGGGCGCAAGCCUGAUGCAGCCAUGCCGCGUGUAUGAAGAAGGCCCUAGGGUUGUAAAGUACUUUCAGUCGGGAGGCGUUACCGACAGAAGAAGCACCGGCUAACUCCGUGCCAGCAGCCGCGGUAAUUC